UGGCGUGUAGCUCAAUGGCAGAGCAGGCGGCUGUUAACCGCCCGGUUGGAGGUUCGAGUCCUCCCACGUCAG
rnacentral:tRNA from 1 species